UACAGAGGUCUCAAGCGUUGUUCGGAUUCAUUGGGCGUAAAGGGUGCGUAGGUGGCGCGGUAAGUCGGGUGUGAAAUCUCGGAGCUUAACUCCGAAAUUGCAUUCGAUACUGCCGUGCUUGAGGACUGGAGAGGAGACUGGAAUUCAUGGUGUAGCAGUGAAAUGCGUAGAGAUCAUGAGGAAGACCAGUGGCGAAGGCGGGUCUCUGGGCCGUAACUGACGCUGAGGAGCGAAAGCAUGGGGAGCGAACAGG
rnacentral:rRNA from 1 species